AGAAACUUAGGCUAACAUAUAGACCAAGGGCCUUCAAAGCCCUAAGUGAGGGUGAGAAUCCCCCAGUCUCUG
rnacentral:tRNA from 1 species